rnacentral:misc_RNA from 1 species
UGUUUUUGAAGGCAACAAGGAGAUGAAAAUUUCUCGUAUAAUAUACGAUACAAAUUAUUACAACAUAUUUUUAACACACCGACCCAAUACAAGGACGACCCAAUACAAGGACGACCCAAUUAAAUAAUUUGGUUAACAAUGGGGUAAAAUAUGGACUAUGGCCAGUAGUCGAAAUCCAGAAGAAGUCUUUGGAGUAACAUCAGGAAGAACCAACCAUACAAGACUGACAAGACUGCUGAUAUGUGGAGGAACUGCGAUUUUAAGAGAGUUAUUCGAUUUUAUCCAUCCACCAGCAAAUCUUUCAACUGUCUUGACAAGUAAACGUUCAACGCUAAAACAAAUGAAAAGGAGGGGGUUUUUAACCGUUCCUCAAUGGAAAAUUUUAUUUCCGUCGCCUGGUACUUGUGGUCAGUCGAAAAAUUUUGAUAUUACUUUGCUUUGUAAACUUUUUAGAAAUAUCUGCAGCCUAAUAGCGCCGGUUACUGGUUGGGACAGUCUGCCAAACAGCACGGAUCUUUCUUUAACAGCUGAUUUAGCUAGAAUUAAAAAUUUUCGAAACGAAAUUCAUGGACAUGUGAAUGAAGACAUGGAACUGAGAGACGAGGAAUUUCUUGGCCUCUGGAAUGAGAUAAAAGACGCUUUAGUAAGGAUUGUUAAGUACUAUACUACAAGUGGCUCAACUUCAAUCACAGAUUGGGAGAAUGCUAUUGAAAAACUGCUAAAUGCGCCUCUAACUGACGAAGAUGAAAUGCACCUUGAAGAAUUAGAGCACUGGUAUCUGGAGGAUAUGGAGGUUAGGAGAGCAGUAGAUCAAAUUGGAAGAACAGCAGAAGAAACCAGAAGAGCAGUAGAACAAAUGACAACUAUGAUGGGAACAGACAGAGCCAGAGAGGGUUUGCAGCAACCAGUUGUACAAGCACAACAGCAAGAACAGAUACCACAUGUACAACCAGAGGUGGUUAUCCAGUGCCUGUUUAAAUUUGCUUCUGGAGCACUGUGGCUUGCAGGAAGUACAGUUAUCAUGAACCAAUAUAGGGAUGAUUUAGAGGCCUUGAAAACAGUCCUCCAGGAUGUGGUGUUUCCUACUGGAGUCUUAGUCUAUAAAAUCAUAUUUGGCUCAAUCAAACUGGUUACAAAAGUAACAUCAUUGGAUGCCCUUACAGAAUUGUGGGAGAGAUACAAAGAGGGUCAAUUGAAAACUGAUUUGGAGAAAGUGUUAUUGACAAAACAGCUAAUAGCCAUGGCACAAAGUGAUGUAGAAAUAACUGUCCAUAUUAAUGAAAUAGAAUACUUGAGAGCUCAACAUGAACUGCAAACAAAAGGUGUUUCAAGUGGCAGUCGUCACCUUGAAAGGAAUAAAACGGAUUCAGCAUGGGAAAGACUACCAAAACUGACAACGACGAAUACCCAGAAACCCCUUCAAAGCAGUAAUCAGGCAUCCCCUUCUUCAACUAAGUCUUGCAUUAGACAUUCAGUGUUACGUACCGUCAGCCAUGAAGAUUCCACAGCUACACAACAUGACGCAUCACAGUCUCUAAUCGCAAAACCUAGUAAUGUUGAACAAGAUAGUGCAAAGGCCACAGGAAGUGAGACUGAGGAGAUAGGAACCGAGACGGAACUUCCUCCAUCAUACGAAGGCGCAUUUCAGACUGUUAGUAAACAAAAAACCUUUUGUUUGCCAGAAGGAGUGGAAGUCAUCUGUGAGCAUUUCGAGAGAGAAGUCUUUGCACACCCCCAAAACAGUUCCAAAAUUCCUAAGGUUUGUCUGAAUUGCCAAAGAUGCCCUACAAGAUGCAAGUACGCAUAUUGGAGCAAAGAGCAAAAGAAGUGGAUAUCUGUGCGGCGUGUUCCGUCAAUCAUGCGCCCAACUGGAAAGCAGAUCCUUUGUUGUCGUCAUGUUCAAAGUGGAAAGACGUGCUUCCCAUCCUGCACUUUUGCGCAUGGACCGGAGCUACAGAUGUGGGAUCUAGAACGCAAAGGAGUUCUGCCAUCACCAGAGACACAUCUGAAGAAUAAAAAAAUCUCUCUAUAUAAUGUAGUAACACCAGAUUCAUCUAAAAGAGAUACUGCGCCUGAAUACAUUAUAGAGAGACCAAAAGGAUGCCCAACAGAGAAAAUUUCAGGAAACAAUAGAACACCGAUUCAAACAACGAGGGUCCAAUCUUUAAGUGCUAGCAAUAUAUGCCGUCUACCAACGGGUGUAAAGAUUGUUUGUGAUGAUUUCAUAAAAAACUUCAAAUCUUAUGGUGGACGGGCUGUCGAGCGAACAACAAAUGUCUGUGAUAGUUGUAAGAAGAAAUGUCAGGAAAGGCAUCCUUUGGUGCGCUCGUUAAUACGAUAUGCCUUUUGGAGCGAAGGGUUUAANCAAUGGUUUGUGAUCAGAACCUAUCCAAGGGGAGNGCUCCGUNUUGCCUUCCGACAAUGCAAAGAUUUAAAAAAUAACAGGCUCUGUACUAGAAGCGAAUGUACUUUUGCUCAUGGACCCGAGGUAUCUAUGUGGACUAUGGAACGAGAAGGAACGCUUGUUCCAGCAUGGGAGGCUUUGUUUCGUACUAUCGUAUAUGUAUCAAGUAAUGAACUAAUGGCUGUUGUACGGCCACUCCCCCAUGGAGCUUUAAAAGACGAUUUGAGGCUAUGCAUGAGCGUGCAGUCAAGAAUAAUUUGCAGAUUUGGACGAGGCUGUCGUUUUGCACAUAGUGAAACUGAACUGGACUCCUGGAAGAAACUCUUCGAAGAAAGACUAAAAGAACGGAGAGAAAUAAGAAUACCAUACAGCGAGCACUUCUUAAAGCAUCAUGAGCUUCAGUGUAAAGACUCCAUUCCAGGGGUUAAGCUCACAUGUAACCCCGUAGUCCCUAAUGUACAGCUUGCCGAGGACUGCGAAGACCAUUCCUACACAUGGGAAUUUUGUGCUCGUUUUGAGGUAACGUUGGGCCUUCCAACCGUUGAACUAUUGAAUUUUCGUUCAAACUUCCAUUUUACAAAGAUCAAAGUUGUGGGAUUUGAUAGGGAUAACAAAGCUACUACUAUUUUGUCUAAAGAGCUCAAAGCGUCGGUGUAUAUUCCAAGGGAGGCAGUGGUGUUGGAUUCGCAAAUGCAGAAAAUCGAAUUUCGUGUGAGCGUUGCCUUCCAAGCAUCAUUGUUUGGCAGCUUUUCUCAGCAUCUUCUGUUUAAUUUUGGUCAGCUACCUUGUCUUAAGAAAGAUUUUAACAUCGAUAUUGGCAGCAAGGAAACACUGGAGAAAUUGGCAGCUAGGAGGAAGACCGUCAUACUUGAUGCCCUACCUUGGGAAGAUCAAAAUAUGACACUCGUAAGAUUCGAACCCGAUCCAGAAAAAGAAAAGUUGAUGUCCGCCUAUUCUUUGCCUAAGGAUGCAGAGAGAAUUGUGUCAGCUCAGUUGGUUAAAGGGGAAGUCAGACAAGACACUUAUAAACAGACAAUGCACCAGCUCCUUUUUUCGGAAGAGGUUUAUAUGAGGAAACUUUUGUUAAGUCUUGCGCCAACGACUGCCGUAAAGCUUGAAAUCGUGACAACUAAACCAGACCUCAGGUUCGGUGGUAUAAAGUUUGCGGGGAAAGGUCAACUGUUUGGAAAAAUAAAACUUGAAAACAUCGAAAUUACUCUCGAUGACAUGGCGGGAAGAGUAUGUCUGCGAAAUGUUCAGCACAUUUGGAUCCAGUCACGUGAUAAACCCAAAUACCUUUACGAGUUGCCGAGCGAAAUUCACGAGGGCAACACCAUUUAUGUGGAUUUGCCACCAAAGGUGUGCGAGGAUCUGAAGCUAAUCAAAGACAAAGUCGUUGAUGUUGAGAUGAGGUUCAAUCUAAACCGCUAUAUUCUUUGCAUGAUGCAUAAAGCCAUAGACAGCCUUGGGAUUACGCAAGCACGCCAGCUUUUUCCCGUAGAACGAAGAGUCAUCAGAAGACGAGAGGUGACCGAUUUUUUGGGGUGGUUCCUGGAUCAACGCCUUAACGAAUGCCAGAAACGCGUUAUUCACGCUAUCGCAGACGUUGUCCCCCCUUCUCCUCCACUUGUGGUGUUUGGACCCUUUGGGACAGGAAAAACCUUCACUUUGAACCAAGCUGCGAUAUAUUUGAUGAAAGAGAAGACAAAUCGCGUUCUUGUAUGCACACAUACAAAUUCAGCGGCUGACAUUCACGUGGAACGACUCGAUGAAUAUCUCCAAGGAAAUGGGAAGCUUUCGCGUGCAGCAAAACCUCUGCGCAUUUACAGCCCUGAAACAGAAUGGAGUAAGACUUCUGACGUUGGUCGGAAGUAUGCACUAGUGAAAGAUGGAGUUUUCGUAAUGCCAACUAGAAAGAAUGUCGUCGAUCAUCGUGUUGUCAUAACAACGCUUACAACUGCUGACCUGUUGACUAAGCUUAAUGUUCACCAUGGAUUUUUUACACAUAUCCUGAUAGACGAGGCUGCACAGGCUUGGGAAACAGAAGCACUGAUACCACUAGCCCUCGCUGGCCCCAACACGAAGAUUGUCUUCACUGGAGACCACAUGCAGACGUCUCCUGAGGUAUAUUCAGAAUUCGCUCGUCAGUGCGGACUCCAGAAAUCACUUCCCGAACGCCUUUUUGACCAUUACCAGGCAAAAGAUAGCAAAGACGAUCAAGUGCUGUUUUUGUUCGAAAAUUACCGCUCUCACGAGGAAAUACUUAACUUUCCUUCGGUGAACUGCUACGAAAAAGGCAUCGUCGCAAGAGGUAACAUUCCUGGCCAUCCUAAGAUACCGCCUUUGGUUUUCUACGCAGCCAAAGGCAAAGACGAAAAGCAAAGCAACAACUCGUUCUUAAACGAGUCUGAAAUUUACGAGGUAGAGAAGCGAGUAGUUGAACUGGUAAAAAACUGGCCACUGUGUUGGGGCCAGAAGAACCUACGAGACAUUGCAGUAGUUGCUCCCUACAAAUAUCAGGUGGACGCAAUUCGAGGCGAAUUGAGGAAAAAACGAAUGAGUGAAGUCAAUGUUCAAACGAUCCACAAUAUACAAGGAAGGGAAUUCAGAGCUGUGUUUAUCAGUACUGUGCGAACUUGGAACUCCAUCCAAGACUUGAGCCAGUCUGACAAAUUGUCCUGUGACGAUCUAUCUCUGGAAUUUCUUUCUGACCCGAAGCUGCUCAUAACUGCUGUUACACGAGCAAAGUCAUUGGUGGCUGUUGUUGGUGACCCUUUUGCCCUAUGCACCCUAGGAAGGUGUAAAAUUCUUUGGGACGAUUACAUCACAAGAUGCUACAAUCUUAACGGGUUAUUCGGAAUAACAUGGGAAGCCUUAAGUGAAGACAUAGGUGCCCAUUUCUCUCAAAUUCAACUGGAUCCAGAAGCUCCAACGUUUGUUCCUAAAUCAGAAAUUCCUAGGAAUGAUGAUGGAGAUGAGGCAAAUAUGGAAUUUCCAAACAAAACCGCCUCAAACCUGAGUGAAUUAGAACCAGAAACGGAGGAAGAUCAGGCAUCCUCUUGCUCGGGAGACAUUAAAUAUAAUGCUGAAGACGAUGAUUGUUUUGCUGAUGUGGAAGACGAUUUAGAAGACGAGGCCGUGCUACCAGCUAAUAUUGAUGGAAUAAUCAAAGAGCUAUGUAAAUUCGUUAAAAAACGCCAGCAGCAAACCGCUGUUAUGGAUGAGGAAUUUCCCGCCUUGACCAAGUACUCUUCAAAAGUUAAAGAAACUCAAAUUAUUUGGCCCUCGAAAAGGCCCACUCAGGACUUUAAUCGUAAAACACUGAAAAGCGAAUAUCUAAUUCGCAACAAGAAUGGGCGCACCGAAAUCCAGCUGUUGGAUAUAUACAAAAGCCCUUCAGAUCGAGUACAGCAGAUCGCCAUGAAUAACUACAAAUAUCAAAACCUUGAGCCCGAGGUACUAAUAAAUAUGCUUGAAAAAGAACCUUUGAAAUUCUACUCUGGUCAGCUUCAGAUACGAAAUGAGAAAUCAAGGAUAGCCUAUCUCGUUAUUCCAGACAAAGACAAACCUGACAUACAAGUUAAGGGAUCAAUCAGACAUGCAUUUGAUCACGAUACUAUUGUAGUCGAAGUACAGCCAAGUCAGAACGAAACAGAAAGUAUAAGCUGUGGUUUCCUCAAAGGUGUGCUGAAUCACAUGAUUAGUCCUCGCGAACGGCAGUAUGUUUGCAAGGUCACUCUGAACAAUCCUGCAGUCAUGAUUCCCAUUAACAGAUCGGCUACAAAAAUAGUAAACCUUAGUGAUAAGAGCCUCAGAGAUAUCAUACCGGUUUACAAGAAGCGCAAGACGCAAGACGAAAGAAUCGGCGAACCAAUGAAGAUGAUAGCCAUAGAAGAGGUUAUAGAGAAGAAGCUUUUGUUUGUUGUCGAGUUUCUUCAGUGGAGAAGCGACUGCACCCUUCCUCUGGGAAUUGCCGUAAGAACUAUACCGACAGGGGAAACAGUAGAGCAAUGCAAAGAAAUCCUCUUUGCUGAAUGCGGCAUUCGCAAAGCCUUCAGUAGGAACACUAAAGAGAUGAUACGCAAGCGUUUUCCAACAACAUGGAAAAUUCCAGACAGUGAAAUGAAGAACCGGAAGAAGAUUGAUAAGGCUUUUACUAUUGAUCCACCAGAAGCUAAAGAUCUGGAUGAUGCCAUCUCAAUAGAUGAAAUUGGAGAUGGAAAGUUCAAGGUUGGGAUUCACAUCGCCGAUGUAAGCUUUUUUGUAGAGCGUGGUACUGAUCUGGAUCGAGAAGCACGGCAAAGAGGAGUGUCAUAUUAUCCUGGUCAAAAUGGGGAAGAAAAUAUGCCCAUGCUUCCACGUGAACUAAGUGAGAAUAUCCUUAGUCUCCUGCCAAACGAGGACCGCUUGACUGUUUCAGUUUUCGUUACUCUUAACAGUGAAGGCGAGGUCGUCGGCCAAAAAGAGAUUCUGAGAACUGUGACGCAUUCUCGCUGUAGGCUUAGCUACUCUCAAGCACAGCAGAUAUUAGACAUGGAGAAGCAUGAUAAUGUAGAGGGCGUGCCUGCUCAAGUGCCUCUAGCAAUUAAGAGGCUUCAUUCACUUGUCGUAAAAAGGCGCUGGCAGCGUCUUAAGGAAGCAUCUUUUGAGGAUUCGAAUAACGGAGAAGAUUCAGAUGCACACGAGCUAAUAGAAGAGCUCAUGAUUCUUGCCAAUCAUACAGUUGGGGACUUCCUGCAUAGUAGAAAUCCAAGGGGCACUCCAUUUCGUACACAACUAGAACCAAAGGUCCAUCGCCUCAAUGAAUGGGCGGAAAAGUAUGGCUCAAUUGCCAAGUACUCUCCGGUUCUGCAACCAAAACUUCAGAGUGAGGACAUCAAAAACGAAGUCAAAGAAAGAAUAUAUACAGAAGAAAAAGAAAUCGACAUUCAUGAACACGCCUGGGACGAAAUAUGUAGAGCUGCAGAAUCUGGGGAUCUGAGAAAAGUGAAGCGUUUGAUUUGUGACCCGUCGUCUUCACCACAACUUGCGAUAGCACGUCUGCAUCUCAUGCGAAUUCAGACGAAAUCUCAAUACACGUGCUCUGGAAGUGACUCUCAACACUAUUCCCUAGGACUGAGUAACUACGUUCACUUCACCUCACCCAUCAGGCGCUACGUAGAUAUUGAAGUCCACCGCCUUCUUUUGGCACUGAUGCCAAGUAAUAGUGUGGAACAAGCCACUUUGAAUGAAGAUGAGAUGGCAACGCUCUGUCGCAGGUCCACAUACUUCAAAACCAACUCAGACAAAUUUGAGAAGGAAUUCAAACGCAUUCAUUUUGCUUCAACGUUGAAACAGAAAAACAAGUCUGGGAUGUUUUUCAUAGACCAGUUGGAGGGCCGUUUCUUCACGAUACAUCCAGUGAGUCCAGAUCACGAUUAUUUCUUGGGGAAGCACAAGAAGGUUAAUUUUGAUGUCCUGUUGCCUUCCUCCAAGUCAGACAGCAUUGAUGGCAAGCCGGAAACCAGUCUCAGAUGGAGGUCGAGAAUAUACCUUGCACAUUCAUCGGGAACCGAAGCUGAUGAUUUGUCUCUCUCCCGUCGGGAUGCGGCCAAAAUCAAGAAUUUGUUAGAUAGCGGUAGAAACCGUGUUGCCGUUCAGAGGAUAAAGGGAAAUACCUGGAAGUGCAUUAUAGAUGCUGUCAAGGAUGGUAAACCAGCAGAUGAACUACUACGACAGGUAAAGCAAACUGACGAGAACUUGAAAAAAAGUGCUACUCAAAAGAGGUCUUUUACAGCCGGAAGCUCCAGUAGAGAUGUCUACAAGCAUCCUAACUUUGGCCGAAUGGAUGUUGGUACGAACAGCAACAGUGAUUGUCAUUUUCAUGAGAUAACUAUGAAUCUCAAGCGGUGUGACAUGGUUCGUUUUCAAAUGUUUUCACGUCUGCACAGUAAGAUGCUCUGUCCAGACGUUCAGCUUUUGAGUGUUUCAUCAGGUUUUUGUAUUUGCCUGGAGCAUCAAAGAUACCCUCGAAGGUGCUUUGCAUUUGAUACAAAACGGUGUGCCUCAAAAGCAGAAUAUUGCAGUGUUGAUGAGUACGUUGACUUUUGGAAACCCGUACUUGCCAUGGAAGCAGCAAAUGCAGCGGUUGUUCAGAAUGAUGGAUUUAUUCUGAAAUCUUUGCCAGUGAAGUGGAAACAAAAGGAUGGAGAUAUCAAGGGUAAAUUUACUCUGACGUCAUCUUAUUGCAAAUCUCGGCAACUGGAGUUCCACUAUGGUGACCUCGCGUGCAUUAGAAUUCCAUUCUCGGACGACUUAUUACCAGAAGAUGCUGAGGCAACAACUGACGAUCAAGAAAUAAGCAUUUGGAUAGGGCAUUGUAUUGUUGAAGAUAUAAAACCAAAGAAGAACCAAGAUGCAACAUCAGUGACUGUCAGACUUCAUCAAAUGGCAUGUGAAUUUCCUCGUCACCUUUUGACCAAAGGCCAACGGGAGUGUGACAUGGAGUAUAUUUACCAGCCUCUGCCGUUAAGGCGGAUGAUUACAGCGUUGGAAUGCAAGUUGAAAGACUCGUCAGAACUUGUCAAAACAAUCUGCCUUGGACAAAGUCCUUCACAAGAACGACUGGAUUUAAACCAUUGAAUGAUUAUCAAAAAAAUGCUGUACGUCAGGCUUUGUCAAGGCCUUUCUCGCUCAUUCAAGGUCCACCAGGGACCGGCAAAACANUAACUGGAGUGCAUGUUGCAUAUUGGUUCGCAAAGCAAAAUGAAAAGCAGAAGCCAGCAGAGAAACAAAACAAGAAGUCAAAAAAGAAGGCAGCCAAAAUUAAGACAGAUCAUGAUAAGGAG